rnacentral:rRNA from 1 species
AUGCUUAUGUCGAAAGCCAAUCCACAUGACGCUCCCGUUCUUCAUGAUCUUCACAUUCGUGCCAAGCGAGAGAUGACUGACGCAUCAAGGAAGGAUGCAAAGUCACUAACUCAAACAUACACAAGCAACACUUCGUUAGUGGCGAUUCUCAUUGCGACAAUCACCUUUGCAGCCGCCUUCACCCUUCCUGGAGGAUACAGUAGUGCUCCUGGAAGCGAGGGACUUCCCACCAUGUCUAGGAAGUUUGCAUUCGGGGCAUUCUUGAUUUCAGACGUCUUAGCAAUGUGCUCCUCAUUUGCUGUGGCAUUCAUAUGCAUCAUAGCAAGGUGGGAGGAUUAUGAGUUCUUACUUUAUUACAGAUCUUUCACUAAGAAGCUCAUGUGGUUUGCGUUCGUGACAACAACUACCGCAUUCUCAACUGGUUUAUACACCGUGCUGGCUCCACGUAUCCACUGGUUAGCGAUUGCAAUUUGUCUUAUGGUAGCUUUACUGCCUAUUCUCACGAAGGUGCUGGGCGAAUGGCCAAUCUUAAAGCUCAGAUUUAAGCUGGGUAAAGAUUUCAAGUCUGAUUUCCUUGACAUGGUGUGA